rnacentral:rRNA from 1 species
UUUUUUUUAUUGGAGGAAAAGAAACCAACUCCUACGGGAGGCAGCAGUAGGGAUUCUUCCGCAAAGGAUGAAAGUUUGACUGAGCAUCGCCGCGUGAGUGAUGAAGGUUUUCGGAUCGUAAAGCUCUGUUUUUAGGGAAGAACAAGUGCGAGAGUAAGCUCGCACCUUGACGGUACCUAACCAGAAAGCCAACUACGUGCCAUACGUAGGUGGCAAGCGUUGGGGGUAAAGGGAGGCGGUUUCUGAAAGCCCCCGGCUCAACCGGGGAGGGUCAUUGGAAACUGGGAAAGUGCAGAAGAGCGGUGAAAUGUGUGGAGGAACACCAGUGGCGAACUGGUCUGUAACUGACGCUGAGGAGCGAAAGCGUGGGGAGCGAACAGGAUUAGAUACCCUGGUAGUCCACGCCGUAAACGUGCUAAGUGUUAGGGGGUUUCCGCCCCUUAGUGCUGCAAGCAUCCGCCUGGAAACGGAGUUCGCUCCACUCUACUGAGCCAUCCCUUUCCUCCCCUAUACGCCAACUUGCAAA